rnacentral:rRNA from 1 species
GGACUGAGUGGCGGACGGGUGAGUAACGCGUGGGUAACCUGCCUUAUACAGGGGGAUAACAGUUGGAAACGACUGCUAAUACCGCAUAAGCGCACGGUAUCGCAUGAUACAGUGUGAAAAACUCCGGUGGUAUAAGAUGGACCCGCGUCUGAUUAGCUUGUUGGUGAGGUAACGGCUCACCAAGGCGACGGUCAGUAGCCGGCCUGAGAGGGUGAACGGCCACAUUGGGACUGAGACACGGCCCAGACUCC